AUGCAGAGAAUGAUCAUUGGCAGGUUUUUCUCUUGACCUGCCGUGCUGGAACCCUCUGCUACAUCAAUACACAUUUUAAUCAUUGGUUGGCUUACUGUAGCCCUCCAACUUUGCACGAUGUGGACAGCU